rnacentral:lncRNA from 1 species
UCCACCUGAGUUUGGUUAUAUUAGUACUCUUAAGCUGCAAAGAUUCUUUAAGUUUGUUAACUAACCUAUUAAUUGCACUUGUAGUACGCAGUGCUUUCCAAUAAUUCUUUGCUAUUGUUCUGGAAAGUGAAACUUGUCAGUCUUUUUGAUAUUACAAAAUAGUAUCAUCCUUGGCCCUAUCAUGUUUAAGAUCUUUAUUUGUACUCUGUUUAACAGACUCAACUUCCUGCUGUACUUUUUAAUAUUAUUACAAAUUUAAGUGGUUCAGAUGAGGCAAGUCCUGCAAAUCCUAUGGAUGACAUCAUGGUAAGUAAACUCCACCUAAUAAUACUUGAUAUCUUUUUGUUUGUUCAGUUGAUACUCUUACUAAACCACAUAAAAGAGUGUUGUAUGUUUAGUUGGUUGCACCUCAGUUCUUGAGGUCAUUUUAGUUUAAUGAGGUUAAGGAGUUUCUGAAGUAUUUUUUAAUCUAUUUUUAUUUAGUUUUUUUGGAGUAGAUACUUGAUAUGAUAUCUUGGAGUUUAUGUUAUAAUGUUUUUUAGCUGAAUAUUUCUACCCCUACCAUACUGUCUAAUGCAAAUAAGCCUAUGUGGUUCCCUCUAUUUUAAAUCAAAGUCUAAUUAAUAUUAUUUUUUUGUAGGAUGAUGAUGCGUAAACCAACGCUUCUUGCAAUAUGGUUCAUGUGCUGCACAAGUCGGAAG